UUCCCGGUUGAUCCUGCCCGGACCGACUGCUAUCGGAUUGAUACUAAGCCAUGCGAGUCAUUGUAGUAAUACAAGGCAGACGGCUCAGUAACGCGUAGUCAACCUACCCUAUGGACGGGAAUAACCUCGGGAAACUGAGUAUAAUGCCCGAUAGAACAUUAUACCUGGAAUGGUUUAUGUUCCAAAUGAUUUAUCGCCAUAGGAUGGGACUGCGGCCUAUCAGUUUGUUGGUGAGGUAAUGGCCCACCAAGACUAUUACAGGUACGGGCUCUGAGAGGAGUGGCCCGGAGAUGGGUACUGAGACACGGACCCAGGCCCUAUGGGGCGCAGCAGGCGAGAAAACUUUGCAAUGUGCGAAAGCACGACAAGGUUAAUCCGAGUGUUUCCUGCCUAAGGAAUCUUUUGUUAGUUGUAAAACCACUGAUGAAUAAGGGGUGGGCAAGUUCUGGUGUCAGCCGCCGCGGUAAAACCAGCACCUCAAGUGGUCAGGAUGAUUAUUGGGCCUAAAGCAUCCGUAGCCGGCUCUGUAAGUUUUCGGUUAAAUCUGUACGCUCAACGUACAGGCUGCCGGGAAUACUGCAGAGCUAGGGAGUGGGAGAGGUAGACGGUACUCGGUAGGAAGGGGUAAAAUCCUUUGAUCUAUUGAUGACCACCUGUGGCGAAGGCGGUCUACCAGAACACGUCCGACGGUGAGGGAUGAAAGCUGGAGGAGCAAACCGGAUUAGAUACCCGGGUAGUCCCAGCUGUAAACUAUGCAAACUCAGUGAUGCAUUGGCUUGUGGCCAAUGCAGUGCUGCAGGGAAGCCGUUAAGUUUGCCGCCUGGGAAGUACGUACGCAAGUAUGAAACUUAAAGGAAUUGGCGGGGGAGCACCACAAGGGGUGAAGCCUGCGGUUCAAUUGGAUUCAACGCCGGA
rnacentral:rRNA from 1 species